GAUGAACGCUGGCGGCAUGCCUAAGACAUGCAAGUCGAACGAAGAUACUGAUGAUUAGAUUUCGGUUUAAGAAAUAGUAUACUGAGUGGCGAACGGGUGAGUAACAGGUAGGAAACCUACCCUAAAGACGGGGAUAACAUUUGGAAACGGAUGCUAAUACCGGAUAGGAUACAAUACCGCAUGGUAAUGUAUUUAAAGAUGCGUCUGCAUCGCUAUAGGAGGGUCCUGCUUCGUAUUAGUUAGUUGGUGAGGUAGUGGCUCACCAAGGCAACGAUGCGUAGCCGAGCUGAGAGGCUGAACGGCCACACUGGGACUGAGACACGGCCCAG
rnacentral:rRNA from 1 species